rnacentral:siRNA from 1 species
UGGCCGAAUUACAGUCGAUGCGGC